rnacentral:rRNA from 1 species
GACGAACGCUGGCGGCGUGCUUAACACAUGCAAGUCGAACGGAGUCUAAAAAUUACCACUGAGAUCUUAGUCAGUGGGCGAGCAGCGUCAUGGACACGAAGUGGCCAUCACGCGUUAAAAAGUGCCAACACAGGGCUGAGGCCUGAGUGGUGAUUUUUAGACUGAGUGGCAAACGGGUGAGUAACACGUAGGCAACCUGCCGACAGGAUGGGGACAACAUUCCGAAAGGAAUGCUAAUACCGAAUGGAGUCCGGAGAUGGCAUCAUCACCGGAUAAAAGAUGGCCUCUGAAUAUGCUAUCGCCUGUCGAUGGGCCUGCGUCUGAUUAGCCAGUUGGCGGGGUAACGGCCCACCAAAGCGACGAUCAGUAGCCGGUCUGAGAGGAUGAACGGCCACAUUGGGACUGAGACACGGCCCAGACUCCUACGGGAGGCAGCAGUGGGGAAUCUUCCACAAUGGGCGAAAGCCUGAUGGAGCAACGCCGCGUGAGUGAAGAAGGUCUUCGGAUCGUAAAGCUCUGUUGCACGGGACGAAAACCGAGCUUGAGAAUAUUGAGUUUGGGUGACG